AAUUUGGAAUAACUCAGAAUUAAACAAAACCAUGGAUAAAAAUUGGAAAUAUCAUUGGAUGAGGUUAAGCAAAAAAGAUAUGUAGAAACUUUAUAUUCAUUUGGUUCCUGAAUAAAACAUAAACAAUUUUAAUCAAUUUUCUGUGGAUAGAACACUACCAUAUUCAUUGUGUACAAUUUUAUUACAUUUAGAAAAUUAGGAUUUACAUAACUAGAACAUUCACCCGACUCAUUCUUUUAAUGAUAUUUGCAUUUAUACGGAAACUAAAGUACUGAACAUAUUCAUGCAAGCAAUAGCGAGAAAAAAUAUGCAUAAUGAGAGACAGUGAUUAGUUGAAAUGUUUAAUAGAAAUAAUGAAAAUC
rnacentral:lncRNA from 1 species